rnacentral:rRNA from 1 species
UACGUAGGGGGCAAGCGUUGUCCGGAAUUAUUGGGCGUAAAGAGCGUGUAGGCGGUCCGGUAAGUCAGCUGUGAAAGUCAAGGGCUCAACCCUUGAAUGCCGGUUGAUACUGUCGGGCUAGAGUCCGGAAGAGGCGAGUGGAAUUCCCGGUGUAGCGGUGAAAUGCGUAGAUAUCGGGAGGAACAUCAGUGGCGAAGGCGGCUGCCUGGCCCAAUACUGACACUCAGGUGCGACAGCGUGGGGAGCAAACAGG